rnacentral:tRNA from 1 species
CCCUGGGUGGUUCAGACGGUACAAGCAUCUGUUUGCAAUGCAGGAGACCCAGGUUCGAUCCCUGGGUCGGGAA